CCUACGGGGGGCAGCAGUGGGGAAUAUUGGACAAUGGGGGCAACCCUGAUCCAGCCAUGCCGCGUGUGUGAAGAAGGCCCUCGGGUUGUAAAGCACUUUCAGUGAGGAAGAACGCCUGGUGGUUAAUACCCAUCAGGAAAGACAUCACUCACAGAAGAAGCACCGGCUAACUCCGUGCCAGCAGCCGCGGUAAUACGGAGGGUGCGAGCGUUAAUCGGAAUUACUGGGCGUAAAGCGCGCGUAGGUGGCUUGAUAAGCCGGUUGUGAAAGCCCCGGGCUCAACCUGGGAACGGCAUCCGGAACUGUCAAGCUAGAGUGCAGGAGAGGAAGGUAGAAUUCCCGGUGUAGCGGUGAAAUGCGUAGAGAUCGGGAGGAAUACCAGUGGCGAAGGCGGCCUUCUGGACUGACACUGACACUGAGGUGCGAAAGCGUGGGUAGCGAACAGGAUUAGAUACCCCAGUAGUC
rnacentral:rRNA from 1 species